UACAUUGCUGCGCUCCUUUGAGACCGGCGCACGGGUGCGUAACGCGUAUGUAAUCUACCUUGUACAGGGGGAUAGCCCAGAGAAAUUUGGAUUAAUACCCCAUAGUAUUAUGAUGUGGCCUCACAUUAUGAUUAAAGUUCCAACGGUACAAGAUGAGCAUGCGUCCCAUUAGCUAGAUGGUAAGGUAACGGCUUACCAUGGCCACGAUGGGUAGGGGUCCUGAGAGGGAGAUCCCCCACACUGGUACUGAGACACGGACCAGACUCCUACGGGAGGCAGCAGUGAGGAAUAUUGGGCAAUGGUCGCAAGACUGACCCAGCCAUGCCGCGUGCAGGAUGACGCAUCUAUGGUGUGUAAACUGCUUUUGUACAGGAAGAAACACUCCCUUGCGAGGGAGCUUGACGGUACUGUAAGAAUAAGGAUCGGCUAACUCCGUGCCAGCAGCCGCGGUAAUACGGAGGAUCCAAGCGUUAUCCGGAAUCAUUGGGUUUAAAGGGUCCGUAGGCGGUUUUAUAAGUCAGUGGUGAAAUCUGGUCGCUCAACGAUCAAACGGCCAUUGAUACUGUAAGACUUGAAUUACUUGGAAGUAACUAGAAUAUGUAGUGUAGCGGUGAAAUGCUUAGAGAUUACAUGGAAUACCAAUUGCGAAGGCAGGUUACUACGAGUAUAUUGACGCUGAUGGACGAAAGCGUGGGGAGCGAACAGGAUUAGAUACCCUGGUAGUCCACGCCGUAAACGAUGGAUACUAGCUGUUUGGGGCAACCUGAGUGGCUAAGCGAAAGUGAUAAGUAUCCCACCUGGGGAGUACGCUCGCAAGAGUGAAACUCAAAGGAAUUGACGGGGGCCCGCACAAGCGGAGGAGCAUGUGGUUUAAUUCGAUGAUACGCGAGGAACCUUACCAAGGCUUAAAGGGAAACGAACAGAUUUGGAAACAGAUCUUUCUUCGGACGUUUUUCAAGGUGCUGCAUGGUUGUCGUCAGCUCGUGCCGUGAGGUGUCAGGUUAAGUCCUAUAACGAGCGCAACCCCUGUUGUUAGUUGCCAUCGAGUAAGGUCGGGAACUCUAACAAGACUGCCGGUGCAAACCGUGAGGAAGGUGGGGAUGACGUCAAAUCAUCACGCCCUUACGCCUUGGGCUACACACGUGCUACAAUGGACGGUACAGAGAGCAGCCACUACGCAAGUAGGCGCGAAUCUAAAAAACCGUUCUCAGUUCGGAUCGGAGUCUGCAACUCGACUCCGUGAAGCUGGAUUCGCUAGUAAUCGCAGAUCAGCCAUGCUGCGGUGAAUACGUUCCCGGGCCUUGUACACACCGCCCGUCAAGCCAUGGAAGCUGGGGGUAACUUAGCUGCC
rnacentral:rRNA from 1 species